rnacentral:sRNA from 1 species
CUUCAUUGACCUCUCACCCUUCACAUCCACAUACACCUGUGCACCGUUUGGCUCUUAUAAAAGACGCAGAGUCUGCAAUGAGAGUCAUCAAUUUUAUACAUACCCCAGUCUUAUGAAUGUAACAGUUUUAAUAAACAUAAUAAAACUUUUAACAACGGAUCUCUUGGUUCUCGCAUCGAUGAAGAACGCAGCGAAAUGCGAUAAGUAAUGUGAAUUGCAGAAUUCAGUGAAUCAUCGAAUCUUUGAACGCACCUUGCGCUCCUUGGUAUUCCGAGGAGCAUGCCUGUUUGAGUGUCAUGAAACUCUCAACCUUCAACUUUUUUAUUAAGGCUGAAGGCUUGGACUUGGGCGUUGCUGGUUUUUACUAACCGGCUCGCCUGAAAUGAAUUAGCAGAUCCUUUUUGUAAUCGGUUCCACUCGACGUGAUAAGUAUUUCGCCGAGGACAUACGCAAGUAUGGCCGAGAUAAAGAAAGUCUUUAGAAUCCGCUUCUAAUUCUUUAGAUAGAGCUUGCUCUACUAAACCCCAUUUUAUGAUCUGGCCUCAAAUCAGGUAGGACUACCCGCUGAACUUA